UGUAAGUGAUAAGGUAUGUUUCAGAUAAGCAAGCUACAAAUGAAUCUGUUAUAUGCAGAUCUGAGAGUGCUGCUGAAACUGUAACUACUGAAAAGAGCUUGCAUGCAACCAUGUGUACUUUGACAUGAGGUGUACAUUGUCAGUGGAAACUGCACAAGAUGUAGAGUACAUCUACAUGCAAAGAUCUUUGAGCUGAUUUUCUACAAGGUAAAUUAUUUUAACUUACUAUGCACUUUGUAUUGCACGAGUUUACUUAUUUACAAAACUGUUGCAGGAGGCAGAUUGCAUUCAACAGCUCAACAAAGCUGAUCCUCUCCGUGUUUCCAGAGCUGUCCAAUUGUUUGUAAGUCAUGAAUGUACAAUCCUUUUUGAGUACUGAAUCAAAUGAAACAAAAUAUCUGCAUGUUGUUAAAUAGGACUGAUUUUAUACAGUCACUGUAAGUAUCACUCCACCUUUUUGAUACCAUAUGAAAAAUCAUGAAAAGAGAACAAACUGACCCUACUGAAGGACAAAAAUGAUGUAAACUCAAUGGUAUUAAACACCACUGGCCUUAACUGACAAGGCAAUUCAACCAAUGACCUUGGAUUGAGAAUGGUGAAUGCUUUGCCUUUGACAUCCAUCAACUUGAAAGAGUGGUGCAAACUAGGUUUUUUGCAUGUCAACAAUUAAUUGGCAGUAUCAAACAUGCAUGAAAAUUAUCAUAAUUUACUUGUAUGCAGUUACAGCUUUUCUUGUAAAACACUGCAGCUUUAAUAUAAUGAUUUCCAAUUGGUUCUUUGUUUUACAAUAAUUGUAACAUAGCACUGAUAUAUUUGGUACAUGAGUACAAGAAUGUAGAGGACCACAGUUCACUGACCUUGCAUUUUUGCCAAUUUGACAUAUUUGCUUGUGGAUUUUUAGAAUGUUUUCAGUUUUGAGGGUCAUUACUGCUUGGUUUUUGAGCUGUUGAGACCUCAACCACUCCAUCAAUGCUUUCAGAGAAAUGUCAGUUUGAUAACGAGGAUGAAAAACUGAAAGUUAUCAGGAAAAUAACUUUUCAACUCUUACAAGCUCUUGGAUUCCUAAGGAGACAGAAUGUCAUCCAUGCUGACUAGAAACCAGAGAACAUUCUUUUUGAAGAAGGUGACGAAACCAAGAUAAAAGUUGUUGACUUUGGAAAUGCAAUUCACUGGGUUCAUAGAGAGGUAAUGUUUGGUGUUCCUUUUGGCCCUAAGAUUGACAUUUGGUCUCUGGGAUGCAUUGUAGCUGAGUUGUAUAUAGGCAAACCUUUAUUUCUGGGAGGAAAUAGGACUAAAGUGUUGCAAGAGGUAACCAGUAUUCUUGGUCCCUGGAGUCCAUUCCAUACUGGAAAAUUUUUUGAAGAUUUGUCUCAGUUUAAAUGUCACCACAACUCAGUCUUGCAGAUGUGUGGGGGACCGACCAGCGCUUUGCCAAGAAAAUCGGAGAAAGAACGCUGUUUGUCACUCAUGGGGAAAGUUGCUCCAAGAUAAGCGUUGAUGCUCUAGGUAGCAUUUCCUUCAGUAUUGUGCUUGAACUCUGCAGCAACCAAGAAGAGGCAGAUACUCGAAUGUUUCUGCAUGCCUUGCAUUCCUCUGAUGCGGCUCAUCAACAGAUCUUAAUCAAGUCAUCGGGCACCGAUGUAGAAGUAUUGGCGUGCAACUUUCGAGAGUACAUAAGUGCUGACAUCUUUCUUCUCUAUGGCACAAGAAGUCGAGCUCGUGUCAUCAAUGUCACCUAGGUCUGUGAGCAGCUAGGUGUCGAGGUGUAUCAGGCAUUACCAGAGCUACACGUACUCACUGGGUGCGACACAGUAAGCUCUUUUGCUGGAAAAGGGAAAAGGCGGCUCUUGAUGUCGUGAAAGCUGACGAAAACAGCAGAGCAAGUAUCCAUAGAAUCGGCGAGUGUGUCCCACCAAUCAGAGAAGAUCUUGGAAAAAUGGAGAAGUUCGUUUGUUCACUUUACAAUGAUUUUAGUUGUUGUAUAGUCAACGAUACGAGAUACAAGUUAUUCUGCAAAAUCCAGAAUCUACAGUCGUACCAGCUUCCUCCCACCCAUGCUGCCCCAUAGAAGCAUCUACAACGCGCAAACUACCAAGCUUAUGUUUGGAAACAUGCAUUGGAUGCAAGAAUUCUAAACCAAGGACCAGAUGGUCAAGGAUGGUGAGUUAGAGGAGAGGCGCUGGAGAUCGACUGGACCGACCUCGCGCCGGCCCUGGAAUCUGUAAUGGAGCUAGUGUGCUGUGGCUGCAGAGGAAAGUGUGAAACCCGUAGGUGCUCUUGCGUCAAGAACGAACUCCACUGCACAGAGGCAUGUUCCUGUGGGGAAGAAUGUGUCAACUGUGACAACAGUUAAUUCAGCGAUGAUGAGGACGACUCCACCAGUAGUGAGGAAGAAGAUGACCUGUAAAAGUUAUCUCAUGAUAUACCGUAUUGCGGUUGUGACAAAUUUCUCGAAAAGUUUCUUGAAAUAUAACGUCAAUACAGAUUAGGUACGAAGAACGUUGCAAGCGUUGCUAUGGAAACAUACAAUGCCACUGGCAUUGCUAUAUUAGUUAGUAGUAGGCAUUGCUUUAUAAUGUAUAAUGAUAAACUUUCCAUUGCUCAAUAA